rnacentral:rRNA from 1 species
UACGUAGGUGGCGAGCGUUGUCCGGAUUUACUGGGCGUAAAGCGCACGUAGGCGGAUUGUUAAGUCAGGGGUGAAAUCCCGGAGCUCAACUCCGGAACUGCCUUUGAUACUGGCAAUCUUGAGACUGGAAGAGGUUAGUGGAAUUCCCAGUGUAGAGGUGAAAUUCGUAGAUAUUGGGAAGAACACCAGUGGCGAAGGCGGCUAACUGGUCCAGUACUGACGCUGAGGUGCGAAAGCGUGGGGAGCAAACAGG